AUUCCGAAGGUAGCGGCGAGCGAAAUCGGAACAGCCCUUAAGCUGUUUUGUAAUUAGUGGAAGGCUCUGGAAAGUGCCACGAUACAGGGUGAUAGUCCCGUACACAAAAAUUUAUAAGCAGUGAAAUCGAGUAGGUCGGAGCACGUGAAACUUUGACUGAAUAUAGGUGGACCAUCAUCUAAGGCUAAAUACUCCCAACUGACCGAUAGUGAACCAGUACCGUGAGGGAAAGGCGAAAAGAACCCCUGUGAGGGGAGUGAAAUAGAACCUGAAACCGUAUACGUACAAGCAGUAGGAGCCUACUUGUUAUGUGCCUGCGUACCGUGUGUAUAAUGGGUCAGCGACUUAUAUUCUGUAGCGAGGUUACGCGAUGAGGGUAGCCGUACCGAAACCCAGUCUU
rnacentral:rRNA from 1 species